rnacentral:rRNA from 1 species
AACGAGAUGCGUAUUGGAAAGCUUCGGCCGGAAGAUGCGUUAUCUAGUGGCGGACGGGUGAGUAACACGUGGGUAACCUGCCUUAUGGAGGGGGAUAACAGAGAGAAAUCACUGCUAAUACCGCAUAAGCACACAUUGCCGCAUGGCAGAGUGUGAAAAGAUUUAUCGCCAUAAGAUGGACCCGCGUCUGAUUAGCCAGUUGGCAGGGUAAAAGCCUACCAAAGCAACGAUCAGUAGCCGAUCUGAGAGGAUGACCGGCCACAUUGGGACUGAGACACGGCCCAAACUCCUACGGGAGGCAGCAGUGGGGAAUAUUGCACAAUGGGGGAAACCCUGAUGCAGCGACGCCGCGUGAGUGAAGAAGUAUUUCGGUAUGUAAAGCUCUAUCAGCAGGGAAGAUAAUGACAGUACCUGACUAAGAAGCCCCGGCUAACUACGUGCCAGCAGCCGCGGUAAUACGUAGGGGGCAAGCGUUAUCCGGAUUUACUGGGUGUAAAGGGAGCGUAGACGGAAUGGCAAGUCUGAAGUGAAAACCCCGGGCUCAACCUGGGGACUGCUUUGGAAACUGUUGUUCUAGAGUGUUGGAGAGGUAAGUGGAAUUCCUGGUGUAGCGGUGAA